AGUGAACGCUGGCGGUAGGCCUAACACAUGCAAGUCGAACGGCAGCACAGUAAGAGCUUGCUCUUACGGGUGGCGAGUGGCGGACGGGUGAGGAAUACAUCGGAAUCUACUUUUUCGUGGGGGAUAACGUAGGGAAACUUACGCUAAUACCGCAUACGACCUACGGGUGAAAGCAGGGGAUCUUCGGACCUUGCGCGAUUGAAUGAGCCGAUGUCGGAUUAGCUAGUUGGCGGGGUAAAGGCCCACCAAGGCGACGAUCCGUAGCUGGUCUGAGAGGAUGAUCAGCCACACUGGAACUGAGACACGGUCCAGACUCCUACGGGAGGCAGCAGUGGGGAAUAUUGGACAAUGGGCGCAAGCCUGAUCCAGCCAUACCGCGGGGGUGAAGAAGGCCUUCGGGUUGUAAAGCCCUUUUGUUGGGAAAGAAGAGCAGCAGGUUAAUACCCCGCUGUUCUGACGGUACCCAAAGAAUAAGCACCGGCUAACUUCGU
rnacentral:rRNA from 1 species